UACGAGGGGGGCAAGCGUUGUUCGGAAUUACUGGGCGUAAAGCGCACGUAGGCGGCUUUGCAAGUUAGAGGUGAAAGCCCGGGGCUCAACUCCGGAAUUGCCUUUAAAACUGCAUCGCUAGAAUUGUGGAGAGGUAAGUGGAAUUCCGAGUGUAGAGGUGAAAUUCGUAGAUAUUAGGAAGAACACCAGUGGCGAAGGCGGCUUACUGGUCCGGUACUGACGCUGAGGUGCGAAAGCGUGGGGAGCAAACAGGAUUGAG
rnacentral:rRNA from 1 species